rnacentral:snRNA from 1 species
UAUCUUACCUGGCAGGGGAGAUACCAUGAUCAUGAAGGUGGUUUUCCCAGGGCGAGGCUUAUCCAUUGCACUCCGGAUGUGCUGACCCCUGCCAUUUCCCCAAGUGUGCGGAAACUCGAUUGCAUAAUUUGUGGUAGUGGGGGACUGCGUUCGUGCUCUCCCCUG